UCAAGUAAUUAAGUGCAUGUGGUGGAUGCCUUGGCAGUCAGAGGCGAUGAAAGACGUGAUAGCCUGCGAAAAGCUCCGGGGAGGCGGCAAAUAUCCUUUGAUCCGGAGAUGUCUGAAUGGGGGAACCCACCUACUUUAAGGUAGGUAUUGCAACAUGAAUACAUAGUGUUGCAAGGCGAACGAGGGGAAGUGAAACAUCUCAGUACCCUUAGGAAAAGAAAUCAAUUGAGAUUCCCUCAGUAGCGGCGAGCGAACGGGGAUCAGCCCAUUAAGUUAUGUGUGUUUUAGUGGAACGCUCUGGGAAGUGCGAACGUAGAGGGUGAUAUUCCCGUACACGAAAGGGCACACAUAAUGAUGACGAGUAGGGCGAGGCACGUGAAACCUUGUCUGAAUAUGGGGGGACCAUCCUCCAAGGCUAAAUACUCCUGACUGACCGAUAGUGAACCAGUACCGUGAGGGAAAGGCGAAAAGAACCCCUGUGAGGGGAGUGAAAUAGAUCCUGAAACCGCAUGCAUACAAGCAGUGGGAGCACCUUCGUGGUGUGACUGCGUACCUUUGUAUAAUGGGUCAGCGACUUAUAUUCAGUAGCGAGGUUAACCGUAUAGGGGAGCCGUAGAGAAAUCGAGUCUUAAAAGGGCGUUUAGUUGCUGGGUAUAGACCCGAAACCAGGCGAUCUAUCCAUGAGCAGGUUGAAGGUUGGGUAACACUAACUGGAGGACCGAACCCACUGUCGUUGAAAAGCCAGGGAUGACUUGUGGAUAGGGGUGAAAGGCUAAUCAAGCCUGGUGAUAGCUGGUUCUCCCCGAAAGCUAUUUAGGUAGCGCCUCGGACGAAUACCAUAGGGGGUAGAGCACUGUUUCGGCUAGGGGGUCAUCCCGACUUACCAAACCGAUGCAAACUCCGAAUACCUAUGAGUACUAUCCGGGAGACAGACUGCGGGUGCUAACGUCCGUAGUCAAGAGGAAAACAAUCCAGACCGCCAGCUAAGGCCCCAAAAUCAUAGUUAAGUGGGAAACGAUGUGGGAAGGCAUAGACAGCUAGGAGGUUGGCUUAGAAGCAGCCACCCUUUAAAGAAAGCGUAAUAGCUCACUAGUCGAGUCGGCCUGCGCGGAAGAUGUAACGGGGCUAAAACUAUGUGCCGAAGCUGCGGAUGUAUACUUUGUAUACGUGGUAGGGGAGCGUUCUGUAAGCCGAUGAAGGUGUGUUGAGAAGCAUGCUGGAGGUAUCAGAAGUGCGAAUGCUGACGUGAGUAACGACAAAACGGGUGAAAAAACCCGUUCGCCGAAAGACCAAGGGUUCCAGUCCAACGUUAAUCGGGGCUGGGUGAGUCGACCCCUAAGGCGAGGCCGAAAGGCGUAGUCGAUGGGAAAAUGGUUAAUAUUCCAUUACUUCUGUGUAAUGCGAUGAGAGGACGGAGAAGGCUAAAUCAGCCUGGCGUUGGUUGUCCAGGUGAAAGGAUGUAGGCAUGUAUCUUAGGCAAAUCCGGGGUACUCUAUGCUGAGAUCUGAUAGCAAGCUGUACUUGUACAGCGAAGUGGUUGAUGCCAUGCUUCCAGGAAAAGUCUCUAAGCUUCAGUUACACAGGAAUCGUACCCGAAACCGACACAGGUGGUCAGGUCGAGUAGACCAAGGCGCUUGAGAGAACUCUGCUGAAGGAACUAGGCAAAAUGGUACCGUAACUUCGGGAGAAGGUACGCUGUUGUUGGUGAUGGAACUCGCUUCCUGAGCUGACGACAGCCGCAGAAACCAGGCCGCUGCAACUGUUUAUUAAAAAACAUAGCACUCUGCAAACACGAAAGUGGACGUAUAGGGUGUGAUGCCUGCCCGGUGCUGGAAGGUUAAUUGAUGGGGUUAGCGUAAGCGAAGCUCUUGAUCGAAGCCCCAGUAAACGGCGGCCGUAACUAUAACGGUCCUAAGGUAGCGAAAUUCCUUGUCGGGUAAGUUCCGACCUGCACGAAUGGCAUAAUGAUGGCGGCGCUGUCUCCAGCAGAGGCUCAGUGAAAUCGAAAUCGCUGUGAAGAUGCAGUGUACCCGCGGCUAGACGGAAAGACCCCGUGAACCUUUACUGCAGCUUGACACUGAACUUUGACCUUACUUGUGUAGGAUAGGUGGGAGGCUUUGAAGCUGGAACGCUAGUUCCAGUGGAGCCGUCCUUGAAAUACCACCCUGGUAAUGUUGAGGUUCUAACUCUGUCCCGUGAUCCGGGACGAGGACCGUGUCUGGUGGGUAGUUUGACUGGGGCGGUCUCCUCCUAAAGAGUAACGGAGGAGUACGAAGGUGCGCUCAGCGUGGUCGGAAAUCACGCGUAGAGUAUAAAGGCAAAAGCGCGCUUAACUGCGAGACCCACAAGUCGAGCAGGUACGAAAGUAGGUCUUAGUGAUCCGGUGGUUCUGUAUGGAAGGGCCAUCGCUCAACGGAUAAAAGGUACUCUGGGGAUAACAGGCUGAUACCGCCCAAGAGUUCAUAUCGACGGCGGUGUUUGGCACCUCGAUGUCGGCUCAUCUCAUCCUGGGGCUGAAGCAGGUCCCAAGGGUAUGGCUGUUCGCCAUUUAAAGAGGUACGCGAGCUGGGUUUAGAACGUCGUGAGACAGUUCGGUCCCUAUCUACCGUGGGCGCUGGAAAUUUGAGAGGAUCUGCUCCUAGUACGAGAGGACCAGAGUGGACGAACCUCUGGUGUACCGGUUGUGACGCCAGUCGCAUCGCCGGGUAGCUAUGUUCGGAAGGGAUAACCGCUGAAAGCAUCUAAGCGGGAAGCCUACCUCAAGAUAAGAUUUCCCUAGGACUUUAUGUCCUCUAAAGAGCCGUUCGAGACUAGGACGUUGAUAGGUUGGAUGUGGAAGCAUAGUGAUAUGUGAAGCUGACCAAUACUAAUUGCUCGUGAGGCUUGACUA
rnacentral:rRNA from 1 species